rnacentral:rRNA from 1 species
GGGGUAUCUGAGUUCGCUCUAUACCCUUUGUGACAUACCUAUAACUGUUGCUUCGGCGGGUAGGGUCUCCGUGACCCUCCCGGCCUCCCGCCCCCGGGCGGGUCGGCGCCCGCCGGAGGAUAACCAAACUCUGAUUUAACGACGUUUCUUCUGAGUGGUACAAGCAAAUAAUCAAAACUUUUAACAACGGAUCUCUUGGUUCUGGCAUCGAUGAAGAACGCAGCGAAAUGCGAUAAGUAAUGUGAAUUGCAGAAUUCAGUGAAUCAUCGAAUCUUUGAACGCACAUUGCGCCCGCCAGCAUUCUGGCGGGCAUGCCUGUUCGAGCGUCAUUUCAACCCUCAAGCUCUGCUUGGUGUUGGGGCCCUACAGCUGAUGUAGGCCCUCAAAGGUAGUGGCGGACCCUCCCGGAGCCUCCUUUGCGUAGUAACUUUACGUCUCGCACUGGGAUCCGGAGGGACUCUUGCCGUAAAACCCCCAAUUUUCCAAAGGUUGACCUCGGAUCAGGUAGGAAUACCCGCUGAACUUAAGCAUAUCAAUAAGCGGAGGA